rnacentral:rRNA from 1 species
UUAUCUCUGUAGAGUCUGCAUAUCAAUAAGCGGAGGAAAAGAAACUAACUAGGAUUCCCUUAGUAACGGCGAGUGAAGCGGGAAGAGCUCAAAUUUGAAAUCUUCAAGGUUCUACCUUGACGAAUUGUAGUUUAAAGAAGUGUUUUCUGUUGGAGUUUUGGUAAAAGUUCUUUGGAAUAGGACAUCAUAGAGGGUGAGAAUCCCGUAUUUGACCAUUACUUUCCAGCUUUGUGAUACACUUUCAAAGAGUCGGAUUGUUUGGGAAUGCAGUCCAAAAUGGGUGGUAAAUUUCAUCUAAAGCUAAAUAUUGGCGAGAGACCGAUAGCGAACAAGUACCGUGAGGGAAAGAUGAAAAGAACUUUGAAAAGAGAGUUAAACAGUACGUGAAAUUGUCAAAAGGGAAGCGUUUGACACCAGUGUUGUUUAGUUGAAAAUCAAUUCAAUAAUUUUUGAUUUUGAGUAGUAUUGACUUCAUCAGCUUGCUGCUUUCUUUUCAGAAAUUAUUGAAUGCACUUUUCAGUUAACAAGUCAACAUCAAUUUCUUUUGUUGUAAAAGGGUAAGAGGAAGGUGGCUUACGCUUCGGCGUAAGUGUUUAUAGCCUUUUACCUCUGCAAUCGGAGAGAUUGAGGUCUGCAGCGUAGACUCUUCGGGGUUAGAUACACUUGUGCUAAGCUAUAGCCUUGUAUAGACAACUUGUUGACUAUGCUCAGUCAUGUAGCUUACUCGCUUGUGCUAUUUUACCUACGCUUAGGAUGUUGAGUAGCGACAUACGCAC